UCUCUUAGAAUUGGGGAGUUG
rnacentral:misc_RNA from 1 species